GUAGGGAAUAUUGCGCAAUGGGGGAAACCCUGACGCAGCGACGCCGCGUGUGUGAAGAAGGCCUUUUGGUUGUAAAGCACUUUAAGUGGGGAGGAGGCUUACCUGGUUAAUACCUGGGCUAAGUGGACGUUACCCACAGAAUAAGCACCGGCUAACUCUGUGCCAGCAGCCGCGGUAAUACAGAGGGUGCGAGCGUUAAUCGGAUUUACUGGGCGUAAAGCGCGCGUAGGUGGUUAAUUAAGUCAAAUGUGAAAUCCCCGAGCUUAACUUGGGAAUUGCAUUCGAUACUGGUUGGCUAGAGUAUGGGAGAGGAUGGUAGAAUUCCAGGUGUAGCGGUGAAAUGCGUAGAGAUCUGGAGGAAUACCGAUGGCGAAGGCAGCCAUCUGGCCUAAUACUGACACUGAGGUGCGAAAGCAUGGGGAGCAAACAGGAUUAGAUACCCGAGUAGUCC
rnacentral:rRNA from 1 species